ACUGGAAUUGCUGGGUCAUAUGGUAAGUAGACGUUGAACUUUUUCAAAAACUGCCCAACUGUUAUCCAAAGUGGCUGUAUCAUUUACAUCCCCAUCAGCAAU
rnacentral:pre_miRNA from 1 species